rnacentral:rRNA from 1 species
UACAUAGGGGGCGAGCGUUGUCCGGAGUUACUGGGCGUAAAGGGCAUGCAGGCGGUCAGACGCGUUUUGUGUGACAGCGGAGGGCUUCACUCUCCGAGCAUACGAAAGACGGUGUGACUUGAGGGCUCGAGAGGGACACGGAAUUCCGGGUGGAGUGGUGAAAUGCGUGAGAGAUCCGGAGGAACACCGAAGGCAGAAGGCGCGAG